rnacentral:rRNA from 1 species
GACGAACGCUGGCGGCGUGCUUAGCACAUGCAAGUCGAACGGAAAGGCCUCUUUCGGGGGGUACUCGAGUGGCGAACGGGUGAGUAACACGUGAGUAACCUGCCCUUGACUUUGGGAUAACUUCAGGAAACUGGGGCUAAUACCGGAUAGGAGCUCCUGCUGCAUGGUGGGGGUUGGAAAGUUUCGGCGGUUGGGGAUGGACUCGCGGCUUAUCAGCUUGUUGGUGGGGUAGUGGCUUACCAAGGCUUUGACGGGUAGCCGGCCUGAGAGGGUGACCGGCCACAUUGGGACUGAGAUACGGCCCAGACUCCUACGGGAGGCAGCAGUGGGGAAUAUUGCACAAUGGGUGGAAGCCUGAUGCAGCAACGCCGUGGGCGGGAGGACGGCCUUCGGGUUGGAAACCGCUUUCGCUCAUGACGAAGCUUUGUGUGACGGUAGUGGGUAAAGAAGCACCGGCUAACUACGUG